CUUGCAUGGAUCAAUGAUUGAAACGGGACAAAUAUUUAGCAGAAAGUUACACGAAACUCUUAUAAAGACCAGUUAAGGCCUUUUAAUCAUUUUAUUUAUAUUCAGGAAAUAGUGGUGUGCUAAACAAUAAAAUGCCUUCUCCUUGUGACUCUUGUAAAGAUACCUGCAAGGAUGGCAAAUCCUGUGGAUCUAACUGCAACUGCGGUCCAGAUUGUAAAUGCUCCGAAAAAUCAGGUUCUGGAAACUGUGGUUGUUCAGCGGGCAGCGAUCAUAAGUCGUGUGAGAAGAAGUAGUUACUAAUAUCGACCAUAUAAAAGGGCAUUUUAUGUCAGCUUUUGCAAAAUAUGUUAAAUCUGAAACAAUUUAUAUUAGUUUAAGAUAUUUAUACAGCUUAAAGCAUUAUUUGUUUUUUAUUUUUUAUAUCAACUGUAUUCUUUAAAAUAAAAUAAAUAUACAGUAAUAUUUAACCUGUA